GCAGGAAAUGAAGUGAUACAGUGAGGCUUAAGGAAUGAUUCACCAUCCUUCAUACCUGCAUUGGGGAACAGAUCAAGAGGAUAAUGUGAAGAGCAGUGAAAAUGAAGCAAGGCUCCAUCUUCUGACUGUUCAACAGAGAUGCAAAGAUUUUCAGAGGCAUACCCCUUGGGGAAGACUCAUUGUUUGCAUGCCCAGACUACUGAAACAGGCACUCAGGAUCUGGAGCAAGACAGUAAUUCAACCAUCACCAGAGUAGUAAGGAUGCUGUUACAUCUUUGUGGAACAUGAAUAUCUUAUUGCUUCAUGGCACAGGAUGCAUGAUGU